GAUGAACGCUGGCGGCGUGCCUAAUACAUGCAAGUCGAGCGAACGGACGAGACGCUUGCUUCUCUGUUGUUAGCGGAGCACGGGUGAGUAACACGUGGAUCACCUCCCUAUAAGACUGGGAUAUCUUCGGGACACCGGCUCUAAUACCGGAUGAUAUUUUGCACCGCAUGGUUCAAAAGUGAAAGUCGGUCUUGCUGUCACUUCUAGAUGGAUCCGCGCUGCAUUAGCUAGUUGGUAAGUUAACGGCUUUCCACGGCAACGAUGCAUGGACGACCUGAGUGAGGGAUAGGCCACACGAGAGCGGAGACGCGGUCCAUAGGCCUAAGGUAGGCAGCAGUAUGGAACCUGCGGCAGUGGGGGAAAGCCUGACGGAGCAACGCCACGUGAGAGAUGACAGUCUUCGGAGCGUAAAACUCGGUUACUAGGGAUGAACAUAUGUGUAAGUAGCUGUGCACAUCGUGACGGUAACGAGUCAGAAAGCCACGGCUAACUACGUG
rnacentral:rRNA from 1 species